rnacentral:rRNA from 1 species
UACGUAGGGUGCGAGCGUUGUCCGGAAUUACUGGGCGUAAAGAGCUCGUAGGUGGUUUGUCGCGUUGUUCGUGAAAACUCACAGCUUAACUGUGGGCGUGCGGGCGAUACGGGCAGACUGGAGUACUGCAGGGGAGACUGGAAUUCCUGGUGUAGCGGUGGAAUGCGCAGAUAUCAGGAGGAACACCGGUGGCGAAGGCGG